UCAAGCGACGAAGCGCAUGCGGUGGAUGCCUUGGCAGCUGGAGGCGAUGAAGGACGUGGGAGCCUGCGAUAAGCCUCGGGGAGCUGGCAAACGAGCUGUGAUCCGGGGAUUUCCGAAUGGGGUAACCCACCCAGUGUAAGCUGGGUAUCUGCGACUGAAUUCAUAGGUCGCGGAGGCGAACCCGGGGAACUGAAACAUCUCAGUACCCGGAGGAAAAGAAAUCAACCGAGAUUCCCUGAGUAGUGGCGAGCGAAAGGGGAGGAGCCUGCAAGUGAUAGCGUCUGUGCUAGGGGAAGCAUCUGGAAAGGUGCGCGAUACAGGGUGAUAGCCCCGUACCCGAAAGUGCGGACGUGGUACUAGGCUUGCGACGAGUAGGUCGGGACACGUGGAAUCCUGACUGAAGAUGGGGGGACCAUCCUCCAAGGCUAAAUACUCCCAGCUGACCGAUAGUGGACCAGUACCGUGAGGGAAAGGCGAAAAGAACCCCGGAGAGGGGAGUGAAAUAGAACCUGAAACCGCGUGCGUACAAGCAGUCGGAGCCCGCGAGGGUGACGGCGUACCUUUUGUAUAAUGGGUCAGCGAGUUAUUCUCAGUGGCGAGCUUAACCGAGUAGGGUAGGCGCAGGGAAACCGAGUCUGAAUAGGGCGUUGAGUCGCUGGGAAUAGACCCGAAACCAGGCGAUCUAUCCAUGGGCAGGUUGAAGGUGCCGUAACGGGCACUGGAGGACCGAACCCACUACCGUUGAAAAGGUAGGGGAUGACCUGUGGAUAGGAGUGAAAGGCUAAUCAAGCCUGGAGAUAGCUGGUUCUCCCCGAAAGCUAUUGAGGUAGCGCCUCGUGAAUCACCACCGGGGGUAGAGCACUGUUUCGGCUAGGGGCCCACCCCGGGUUACCAAACCGAUGCAAACUCCGAAUACCGGUGAGUGCGAUCACGGGAGACAGACGGCGGGUGCUAACGUCCGUCGUCGAGAGGGAAACAACCCAGACCGCCAGCUAAGGUCCCCAAUUCCAGUUAAGUGGGAAACGAUGUGGGAAGGCUAAGACAGCUAGGAGGUUGGCUUAGAAGCAGCCAUCCUUUAAAGAAAGCGUAAUAGCUCACUAGUCGAGUCGGCCCGCGCGGAAAAUUCAACGGGGCUCAAACUGGAAACCGAAGCUGCGGGCGUGCCGAGAGGCGCGCGGUAGGGGAGCGUUCCGUAAGCCUGCGAAGGUGGGUCGAGAGGCCUGCUGGAGGUAUCGGAAGUGCGAAUGCUGACAUGAGUAACGACAAAACGGGUGAAAAACCCGUUCGCCGGAAGACCAAGGGUUCCUGUCCAACGCUAAUCGGGGCAGGGUGAGUCGGUCCCUAAGGCGAGGCCGAAAGGCGUAGUCGAUGGGAAACAGGUUAAUAUUCCUGUACCUCUCGUUGCUGCGAUGGAGGGACGAAGAAGGCUAGGCCAGCGCGGCGUUGGUUGUCCGCGUUUAAGGCGGUAGGCUGGACUCUUAGGCAAAUCCGGGAGUCCGAGGCCGAGAGCUGACGACGAGCCCACUAUUGGGCGAAGUGGUUGAUGCCAUGCUUCCGAGAAAAGCUUCUAAGCUUCAGGCAACGAGAGACCGUACCCCAAACCGACACAGGUGGUCGGGUAGAGCAUACCAAGGCGCUUGAGAGAACUCGGGUGAAGGAACUAGGCAAAAUGGCACCGUAACUUCGGGAGAAGGUGCGCUCCCUUUGGUGAAGGACUUGCUCCGUAAGCCGAGGGGAGUCGAAGUGACCAGGCCGCUGCGACUGUUUAUCAAAAACACAGCACUCUGCAAACUCGCAAGAGGACGUAUAGGGUGUGACGCCUGCCCGGUGCCGGAAGGUUAAUUGAUGGGGUUAGCCCCCUCGGGGGCGAAGCUCCUGAUCGAAGCCCCGGUAAACGGCGGCCGUAACUAUAACGGUCCUAAGGUAGCGAAAUUCCUUGUCGGGUAAGUUCCGACCUGCACGAAUGGCGUAACGAUGGCGGCGCUGUCUCCACCCGAGACUCAGUGAAAUUGAACUCGCUGUGAAGAUGCAGUGUACCCGCGGCUAGACGGAAAGACCCCGUGAACCUUUACUACAGCUUGGCACUGAACUUUGAGCAUACCUGUGUAGGAUAGGUGGGAGGCUGUGAAGCCGGGACGCCAGUUCCGGUGGAGCCGCCCUUGAAAUACCACCCUGGUAUGUUCGAGGUUCUAACUCAGGUCCGUGAUCCGGAUCGAGGACAGUGUCUGGUGGGUAGUUUGACUGGGGCGGUCUCCUCCCAAAGCGUAACGGAGGAGCACGAAGGUACCCUCGGCAUGGUCGGAAAUCAUGCUCUGAGUGCAAAGGCAGAAGGGUGCUUGACUGCGAGACUGACAAGUCGAGCAGGUGCGAAAGCAGGUCUUAGUGAUCCGGUGGUUCUGUAUGGAAGGGCCAUCGCUCAACGGAUAAAAGGUACUCCGGGGAUAACAGGCUGAUCUCCCCCAAGAGUUCACAUCGACGGGGAGGUUUGGCACCUCGAUGUCGGCUCAUCACAUCCUGGGGCUGAAGCCGGUCCCAAGGGUAUGGCUGUUCGCCAUUUAAAGUGGUACGCGAGCUGGGUUCAGAACGUCGUGAGACAGUUCGGUCCCUAUCUGCCGUGGGCGUUGGAGAUUUGAGGAGAGCUGCUCCUAGUACGAGAGGACCGGAGUGGACGAACCUCUGGUGUUCCGGUUGUCACGCCAGUGGCACUGCCGGGUAGCUAUGUUCGGACGGGAUAACCGCUGAAAGCAUCUAAGCGGGAAGCCCCCUCCAAGAUGAGAUCUCCCCGGGACCUCGAGUCCCCUAAAGGGCCGUCCAAGACCAGGACGUCGAUAGGCGGGGUGUGUAAGCGCCGCGAGGCGUUGAGCUAACCCGUACUAAUGGCCCGUGCGGCUUGACCAU
rnacentral:rRNA from 1 species